rnacentral:rRNA from 1 species
GACGAACGCUGGCGGCGUGCUUAACACAUGCAAGUCGAACGGAAAGGCCCUGCUUUUGUGGGGUGCUCGAGUGGCGAACGGGUGAGUAACAAGUGAGUAACCUGCCCUUGACUUUGGGAUAACUUCAGGAAACUGGGGCUAAUACCGGAUAGGAGCUCCUGCUGCAUGGUGGGGGUUGGAAAGUUUCGGCGGUUGGGGAUGGAAUCGGGGCUUAUCAGCUUGUUGGUGGGGUAGUGGCUUACCAAGGCUUUGACGGGUAGCCGGCCUGAGAGGGUGACCGGCCACAUUGGGACUGAGAUACGGCCCAGACUCCUACGGGAGGCAGCAGUGGGGAAUAUUGCACAAUGGGCGGAAGCCUGAUGCAGCAACGCCGCGUGCGGGAUGACGGCCUUCGGGUUGUAAACCGCUUUCGCCUGUGACGAAGCGUGAGUGAUGGUAAUGGGUAAAGAAGCACCGGCUAACUACGUG